AGAUUGAACGCUGGCGGCAUGCCUUACACAUGCAAGUCGAACGGCAGCACGGGAGCAAUCCUGGUGGCGAGUGGCGAACGGGUGAGUAAUAUAUCGGAACGUGCCCAGUCGUGGGGGGAUAACGUAGAAAAAUUUACGCUAAUACCGCAUACGAUCCAAGGAUGAAAGCGGGGGACCGUAAGGCCUCGCGCGACUGGAGCGGCUGAUAUCAGAUUAGCUUGUUGGUGAGGUAAAGCUCACCAAGGCGACGAUCUGUAGCUGGUUUGAGAGAACGACCAGCCACACGUGGACUGACGACGACCGG
rnacentral:rRNA from 1 species